rnacentral:rRNA from 1 species
GACGAACGCUGGCGGCGUGCUUAACACAUGCAAGUCGAACGGAAAGGCCCUGCUUUUGUGGGGUGCUCGAGUGGCGAACGGGUGAGUAACCCGUGAGUAACCUGCCCUUGACUUUGGGAUAACUUCAGGAAACUGGGGCUAAUACCGGAUAGGAGCUCCUGCUGCAUGGUGGGGUUUGGAAAGUUUCGGCGGUUGGGGAUGGACUCGCGGCUUAUCAGCUUGUUGGUGGGGUAGUUGCUUACCAAGGCUUUGACGGGUAGCCGGCCUGAGAGGGUGACCGGCCACAUUGGGACUGAGAUACGGCCCAGACUCCUACGGGAGGCAGCAGUGGGGAAUAUUGCACAAUGGGCGGAAGCCUGAUGCAGCAACGCCGCGUGCGGGAUGACGGCCUUCGGGUUGUAAACCGCUUUCGCCUGUGACGAAGCGUGAGUGACGGUAAUGGGUAAAGAAGCACCGGCUAACUACGUG